UCUCUCUUACAGAAAAUGCGAAGUACUUUGGUGACCUGGUUUUAAAUCCAACAUUGAGAUCAAUAAAUGAAAUGUAUAAUUCAAUUCGAUACCCCGGCGACUUACUCAUAUUUGUGCAAAUGCGUUCAUGCUGCCGAAGUAACCUUGAUGUAGGUUCACAUGGAUGACGAUACGAAACUGAAGGCCGCCCAUUUACGUUCUUGUAUUGCGAAAGCAGAAUGCUACAGCAGCGAUUCAUGAGCUUCCAAGAUUAACAACGUAACAGACAUGCAUGCUUUUGGCUGAAGUAAUACAUGAAGCAUUGAAUAUUUUAAAAAUCAAGAAACCCUCAGCUGUUACUACUGCUAAUAUCACUAAUACUACCAUUACGACGACAACGGCGACUACUACUACUACUACUACUACUACUACUACUACUACUACUACUACUACUACUUCUACUACUACUACUACUAC
rnacentral:lncRNA from 1 species